CGCAUCUGUGCAUGCAGCAUAUCAAUAAGCGGAGGAAAAGAAACUAACAAGGAUUCCCUUAGUAACGGCGAGUGAAGCGGGAAGAGCUCAAAUUUGAAAUCUUCAAGGUUUUACCUUGACGAAUUGUAGUUUAAAGAAGUGUUUUCUGUUGAAGUUUUGGUAAAAGUUCUUUGGAAUAGGACAUCAUAGAGGGUGAGAAUCCCGUAUUUGACCAUUAUUUUCAGCUGUGUGAUACACUUUCAAAGAGUCGGAUUGUUUGGGAAUGCAGUCCAAAAUGGGUGGUAAAUUUCAUCUAAAGCUAAAUAUUGGCGAGAGACCGAUAGCGAACAAGUACCGUGAGGGAAAGAUGAAAAGAACUUUGAAAAGAGAGUUAAACAGUACGUGAAAUUGUCAAAAGGGAAGCGUUUGACACCAGUGUUGUUUUCUCGAAAAUCAAUUAAAAAGAGUUUAGAUUUUGUUGUGUAUUGACCUUAACAGCUUGCAUUUCAAUUUUCUUGCUUUUUUAAUGCACUUUUCGUUUAACAAGUCAACAUCAGUUUCUUUUGUUGUAAAAAGGUCAUUGGAAGGUGGCUUUCUUUUCGGAGAAAGUGUUUAUAGCCUUUGACUCCUGCAAUCGGAGAGACUGAGGUCUGCAGCGUAGAUCCUUCGGGGUUAGAUACAUUUGUGCUAAGUUAUAGCUUUUUAUAGACAACUUGUUGACUAUGAUUAGUCUUGUAGCUUACUCGCUUAUGCUAUUUUACCUACGCUUAGGAUGUUGACACACGCGCGUGCUCG
rnacentral:rRNA from 1 species